GCUCCCCCCCUUCGGGGGACUCCCGGCUCCGACGCGCUGGGGAUUCCCCUUGCGCAGCGAUCGGAACGUUCGGGAUUGUUCCCGGUGACGUCACGGCAGAAGGGCUUCCCGCUGGCUCAGGCUGCGCCAGGCCCCGCCCCUUUAUCGUUGUGUCGGGCGGGGGGAGGGGGAGUCCCGCGGCGCCGGGCUCGGCGGCUCUCGCGAGGUUUGGGCGCAGAGCAUUGCGGCUCGGAGAGGCGCCAUUUUGGGAGCGAGGCGAGUUGUACGUCGGGGCCCGGCGCGCGGGGAGCGGCUGAGCGGCGCGUUCCCACCCAGCAGCCUCCGCGCUCCGCCCGCCAGGCCGUUCGGUCCCGAGGAGACUCGGCCCUUUCGCUGCGUUGUGGGGGCUGUGGCUGGCCACCUGCGUCCGCAGGGAUCCGCGGCGGGGCCCGGGGCCGGGACUCGUUGCUGAGAAGGCGCCGGAGACCGAAGGAAGGAACCGCGCGGCUGUGAAGUCUUGAGCUUUCUGUCGCCUCCUCCUCCUCCUCCCCUGCCCGGCUUUGUUGGCACGGAGUGAACACGGGCUGGAAGUUUCGCGCUCUGCCUCCUUCUGCUGGGAACCUGCGCCGCUCUUUCCUUCCCUUCUGUUGCUGUUAGUUCAUCUUCUUUACCCCAGACAGCGGGUUUGAUUCCUUUGCUAACGGCUCCAGUCCUGCUGAGGAGUUUUAUGGCAGAUAUUUUUACCUUUCUUUUUAAGUGUUUUGACAUAGCCAAUUCUGUUCUGCAAUGAACUGUCUCCUCUAAAUGAAGAGCGUAAUAGGACUUUAUUUCCCCUUUUUUCUUUUGUAUCUUAUUUGAAUCCUCUUUUUAAUUUUUUUUGAAAAAUGUUGCUGCCUGUAAGCAGUAUGGUGGUAUCCAGAUAGCUGUUGUUUGCAGAUGUCUUUAGAACCCGAAGCUGAGAAAUGCCCUUCAGUUCAGAUGUGAAAUUUGGAUUUUCAGUUUUACUCUUGGUCUCAUAAGAGGUUUAUUUAUUUCAUCCUGAGCUGAUGCUCAUUAUAGCAAGAUGUAUGUGGAAUAGAUGAAAAGAGGCUGUAAAAGAGAAAAAACAGCUUCUUAAAUCAACAGACUUGGCAAAUUUUGGAAAUAGCUUUGUGUGGGGUCUAAAAAAAAAAAAAAAAGAAGGAUGGGUAGCUGAUUUCUAAGAGGUCAACUAUAUGUCAAAUAGCCACGGAUGUAGAAUCCUCAAAGACUCAGGAUAGUAUUUCAAAGAAAACAAACUGGAAAAUAUAAAUCAGACGGAGCGAACACCUUGUGCAGUCCUUUUGGAUUUGGUAAGUAUGCCACAUGAAUUGAUAUGCAUUUUAUUAAGCAUCCUGUUGGUAAAAUGCCACAAAUAACAGCUGGCAUACAGCAAAUGUGCCUUUUU
rnacentral:lncRNA from 1 species